UGCCAGGGCAUUCCUGACACCAUAACCACUGCAGUGUGCUGUAGUGGUUAUGGUCAUUGGAACGCUCCUUUA